rnacentral:lncRNA from 1 species
AUGUGUUUGCCUCCUGUCUCUCAACAAAAGGUAAGGACUUUAACCUGUGACGCUCCACAGCAGACUUGUUCUCAGUUGUCUGGUCUCUGGUUGGAGGAUCAGAAGGACACAGAGACCUACAUCAUGGCCAUCGCGGACCAGCUGCUGGAGUUGAUGUUCUCCUGGAUCGAUCAGAGGGAGUGCUGUGCAGAGCAGCUGAGGAAACUGGCCAAAGAGCUGGAGUCAUGCAGAAAGAAUUGUAAUAUCAGUGAAUGUGUUGGAACCACAGUGUCAGUGGCUGGAUCUGCAUGUAUGAUCGCAGCCGGUGUGGCCACUUUGUUCACCGGCGGUGCAGCUGCUCCACUUUUAGGUAUGGCAGGAGCAGUGUGUACAGGUGCAGGUGCCACUGUAUCUGUGGGUACUAAAAUCAUUGAGGGCUUCAAAUCCAGUGACACCAUUAAAGAGGCGCAAGAGAUAGAAAAGAAGAGCAACGAGGUUGCAGAAGAAAUACAGAAGCUGUUUGAACAACUGAAGGUGGAGAGUUUCUCCACAGACCCAAAUAAACAGGACCGACACGUCAUGACUGAAAUUCUGAAAGCCAUAGCCAGGCGAAGUGGACUGAAGGGGAGGAUUCGGAUCCGCAGGCUUGAUAAAGAGCUACAGAUUCUUUUCGACAAAGAACAGUCAAACGAGAGGCUCAACCAGAGCUUCUUGAACCCUGAAGUAAUGGUUUCACUUGGUGGAAUUUUAGCAUUUUUUGCACUUCAGCUUUGUGGAAAAACAUUGAAACGUUUCUUGGCUAAAGGAGCUGAGCAACUGAUCAAACAUACAUGCAAAGGUAGUGCUCUAGGAACUGACCAGUUCAUCAAAACUGGUGCCAAAGGAGCUAAAAAUAUCAUCAAACAAAUGUCUUCAAAAGCGCUAAAAGGAGGUGUCAUGGUUGUAGGAGGAGCUGUUGGUCUGGCGUUUGAACUUCCUGAGGCGAUUGACAACUGGACAGACCUGAUCAAGAAGAAUCAUGUGACUGAAGCGAGCCAAUCACUGAGAGAUACAGCUGACGCCAUUCUAGAGAUCACCGGGAUGCUGGGGGAACAGUUCAACAUAAUCAAGCAAAUCUUUGACGAGAUGGUGAAACGUCACGAGGAAAAGGCUUCCAGACGGAAAAGACUGAUGUGCUGCUUGUGCUGCUGAAAGAUAUUAGAAGAGGAGAAGGCUAAAAGACGACGGGAAGAAGAGGAGAAGGCUAAAAGACAACGAGAAGAAGAGGAGAAAGCUAAAAGACAACGAGAAGAAGAGGAGAAAGCUAAAAGACAACGAGAAGAAGAGGAGAAAGCUAAAAGACAAUGGGAAGAAGGUGAUCAAACUGUGCAGACCAGAAGUGGGCAAGAGAGAGAAAGUCAUCAAAAUGAAGAGACCGGAAGUGGUCAGCAGGGAGGGGGUGGUCAGGGAGAUAAGGAGAGUGGUGGUGAAGAUGAGGCGAAUGAUCAGGAGGAUGAGGAGACUGAGGAAGAGACAGAGGAAGAUGAAAGCAAGCACUGGUAGAAAAAGGACAAAGCGCCAUCGAAAGAAGGGCACUCGAAGUAAACAAAGAGGAGACAGUGAGGAAGUGGUCAGACAGUGUAAGGAUAGUUGGAUAGACCAAGAGCAGAGAACUAUCCAGACACCUCCUGGAACAAUGGGGUGAGUGGGGUUACUUAAUGUUCGCUCAAUGAAUAAGAAACGAUCCCCUGGUAAAAAAAACAGGAUCUUAAAGCUCAUACCAAAAAACAACCUGGACAUCUUUCUUACAACAGAGACGUGGUUACGAGAAGACAAUGCAGACAGAGUCCUCAGGGAGGCUUCACCACAGAAUUACAAUUAUCAUUAUCAGGUGAGGGUUGGUCAAAGGGGAGGAGGGGUAGCAAUUCAGUUCUCACAGGAGCUGCAGGGUGAAAACAUUCCUUUUGACUCCUUAACAACCUUAGAAUGUGUUGUCACAGUUCUGCAUCAUGAUGAGUGGAACCAGCCGGUCCCUGUCAUCAAUGUGUAUCACCCACCGGGGUACAACAGGGACUAGUUAUUAUUGUUGUAUGUAAACCACCUGGUCUGGAUUUUACAGAAGCUGUUGGAUGUAAAAAAAAAAAAACUUUUAAAGUUUGAGUAUAUGUUGAUAUGAAUUUGCUACACAUUCGUACAUCAGUUAGAUUCUCCACAGUUCAAUCUUUCACUUCAGUUUACAGGAACCAUCAAAUCUGUGAUCGGUGAUUGAUAAUGUUGUUCAAUACAAGUUUCAGUUACUAAUAUAGUAUUCUUACUGGUUUAAAUAAACAGUAUUUCCAUUUUUGCUGAGCAAAAGGAAUUAAAGGCCUGUCCCAUAUAGAGGAAGGUUGAGUUCAAUUCAAUUCAAUUCAAUUUUAUUUGUAUAGCGCCAAUUCAUAACAGAAGUUAUCUCAGGACACUUUUCAAAUAGAGCAGGUCUAGACCGAACUCUUUAACAUUAAUUACAGAGACCCAACAGUACCACCAUGAGCAAGCACUUGGCGACAAGGGCAAGGAAAAACUGCCUGUUAAAAGGCAGAAACCUAGGACAGAUCCUCCGGCUCUAGGUGGGUGGUCGUCUGUCUCGACCAGUUGGGGUGAGAGAGAGAGAGAGAGAGAGAGAGCGACAGACAGACAGACAGGUGCACAGCAACAACAGUAUUGGCAAUGGCAGUCAAGCAGGACCAUGGCAGGAGGCUCCACCAGGAUCCAUGAGAACCUGCGAGACGAGAAAGCACAAGAACUCCGGGGAAGAAGUGGAGUUAGUAACAUGCAUUAAAGGGACAUGAAUGAGUGCAGAAAGAGAGAGGAAGAGAGUAGCUCAGUGCACCAUGGGAAAUCCCCCGAUAGUCUAGGCCUAUAGCAGCAUAACUAAGGGAUGGUUCAGGACUCACCUGAUCCAGCCCUAACUAUAAGCUUUAUCAAAGAGGAAUGUCUUAAGCCUACUCUUGAAUGUGGUGAGGAUGUCUGCCUCCCGAACCACAACUGGAAGCUGGUUCCACAGGAGAGGAGCUUGGUAACUGAAGGCUCUGGCUCCUGUUCUACUUUUAGAGACUAUAGGAACCACAAGUAGCCCAGCAUUCAGAGAACGUAGUGUUCUAGAGGGGUAAUAGGGUACUAUGAGCUCUUUAAGAUAUGAAGGGGCCUGACCAUGAAGAGCUUUAUAGGUGAGGAGGAGGAUUUUAAAUUCUAUUCUACAUUUUAUAGGGAGCCAAUGCAGAGUAGCUAGUACAGGAGAGAUGUGAUCUCUUUUUCUAGUUCCUGUCAGUACUCGUGCUGCAGCGUUCUGAAUUAAUUGGAGUUGUGUUCAAUGUUGACGCUGUUCUGCCAAAUCUGAGGUUAACUAUGUAUUUUCUUCUGUGACCACCAGAGGGCAGCAUUUCAUUAAACAACUGUACACUGAGCUUCAGAGCUGUAAUCAUCAACUCAUGAUAACUGAGACAACACUAGCGUUUCCAUUUAGCCAAAUAACAUUAAUGUCAAGUAAGCUGAAAAUGUUUUCGCCCAAAUAAAAGUCAAACAACACGACUGACUAUAAUCAAUGAUAAAACUGAAGUAUGAAGUGUUCCUUUAUCUCCUCCUUCUUUAGUUAAAUAAGGUAUUUAAAAACCCUCUGGAGCAGGCAUUGUCACAAAGCUAAAAACAGGCUGUUUUUAGAGAUCUGUGGUUCUCACAGGACACACACACUACAAACAUGAUGAUCGUAUAGAAUCUGAUGCAUUGCUGUAGAAUAAAGUACCAAACAGCAUAUAAAGUAAUUCAAAUGAGCUCAACCAAAAACAUCUACAGAAGUAAAAUGCAACACGUACAUUAAUGCAGAAGUAAUAUCAAUUAAAAUUUUAGUUAAAAACAUCAGGUAUAAUAGUAAAACACUGACAUUUUACUGCACUAUGAGUACUUUUACUUUCAGUACAUUCUUCUGAUAAUACUAACAUACAUUAAUAUGUAAUAUUUCCAUAUUAAACAGUGUAUAAGCUCUGGCUCUAUGUUCUAUAUGUAGUUGAGUUCUUACACUAACCAAAAUGUUUCCAACAAUGUUCAAACUCAGAGAAAUCUGUCAUUUUAUUCAGGUAACACUGUGUUUCACCAGUCGCCUGUCGAUGGCGUCAUAUCACCUUUGUGCCUGUGUCAGCGUUGUGGUUGUCUACCAGAAGCUGUCAUACAUUGACUGUUGAUCCAGUCUGAAGCCACAUUGUUACCAUCCACUGUUUAGAUCUUGGUGCAUUUUAACUCUAGAUUUGAACCGGAUUUUAGUCCAUUUUUGCCCUGUAUCUACAAAACUGGCCUAGUUUUUGUUAAUUAAUAAAGUUUUCCUGCUGGACACAAGCUGUCCCCUAGUUCACUGUAAAGUCUAUUCAGGUGUAUGUGCAAUGGUGGCUUCAAUUGUUUGUAUAAGUUGUGUUCUGGACCAUUUCUUUCCCAUGUCAUGCACUUAAAGUGCCCAACCCUAAUGGCUUUAUAAGUUUCAAGAUUCAAGAUUCAAUACUGUAUUGCCAUACAACUCAGUGCAAGUUGCUAGGGAUUUGCUUCAGUGUGCUCAGGACAUCAACAAAGACACAAGUACAGGUACGUUUUUAUAUGAGACCGGGUUGGCAGUGGUCAAACAUUUCAUUACAAACUCAUACAUUAUAUGACAGCUUAGUCGUAUCACAAAGUAUCACAAAGAAACCUGUUCUGUAAAAUUAAGACCACAUCAUUCAAAUAAAAGAAGAAUUUCAGCUCAGUUUUUGUGUCUGAUCAGACGUCCUCACAAGCCUAUUCCAAAGCAAAGAAAUAUUCAAUCUUCUAGAUACUUUAUCUCUGAUACACAAUACUACAAGACAACAGGAAAUCUGGCAUACUGUCAAGUGGUGCAGAGGCGUAUGUCUGCGGAUGAAUUAAUGUGAGCUCUAGGUCUUCAUCAGAGUGUGCAGACCUUUAUGAAGACAGCUAUUUCCUCCAGUGAAUGUAUGCUAUCAUUGAGGACUAUAGUGGCAGUAAUAGUAUCAAAUGCAGAGAAUACAGUUAUAGUUUAAACAUAAGCACAUAGUUGCCUGUUCACAGUUAUUAUUGUCGAGUGUUAUGUUGUUGAAGUUAGACACUGUUCUGCCAAAUGUGUUUGUGUAUUUUCUUCUGUGACCACCAGAGGGCAGCAUUUCAUUAAACAACUG